GGACAGGGUAGGUUGAGUGUAGGGACAGGGUAAGUUGAGUGUAGGGACAGGGUAAGUUGAGUGUAGGGACAGGGUAAGUUGAGUGUAGGGACAGGGUAGGUUGAGUGUAGGGACAGGGUAAGUUGAGUGUAGGGACAGGGUAGGUUGAGUGUAGGGACAGGGUAAGUUGAGUGUAGGGACAGGGUAAGUUGAGUGUAGGGACAGGGUAGUUGAGCGUAGGGACAGGGUAAGUUGAGCGUAGGGACAGGGUAAGUUGAGUGUAGGGACAGGGUAAGUUGAGUGUAGGGACAGGAUAAGUUGAGCGUAGGGACAGGGUAAGUUGAGCCGCCUUGAGGUAAGUG
ensembl:lncRNA